UGGCCCCUCGUCCAAUGGCAGGACUCCGGCCUUUGGAGCCGGCAAUGGUGGUUCGAAUCCACCGGGGCCAA
rnacentral:tRNA from 1 species